AGCAUAUGACAAAUGCUGCAGACCUACAGACUAGGCUAUACAAGCAUGCAAGGCUACAGAUCAAGUCAUAAAAUUUUAAAAUAAUAAUAAUAAGCUUUUAAUUCUUAAAAUCAAUCUAAAAAAAUUAAUUAAAUCCUUUUCCAUAACAAAUAUCUUUGAGCAACAUAAAUCAUAAUGUCCCAUCCAAAUAAAAUAUCCAAACUAAAUCAAACUAAACUAAAAAUCUAAAAAAUUUAAAUAUCUCCAAA
rnacentral:lncRNA from 1 species